GUAUAGAAUCUGCAAUAAUUUAUGUGAUAAACUGCAUAUGGGUAGUUUUGAAAUACUUUUGGAAAGUUUACAUGUCCUGUGGUGUGACAACUACAGUAUUUCAAAUGUAUUUUUCACUUAAAAAAAAAAUCUAUCUAAAUUAACUGGUUUUGUCAAAUAUAUGAUUUAUUAUGAAUGAAUCAACCAAACUAUAUUGCAUUACACCAAUGACAGUAAUUUGUAAAGGAAUGUCCCGGAUUUAAUACAUGUUAAGCUUAACCAACAGUAUUUGUGGCAUAAUAUUAAAACAAAUAAUUAAAAUUAAAUAAUUAAAUAAUUAUUACAUGUUUAAAAUAAAAUAAUUAGGAUAAGAUGAUGCUUAGUCCAAACACGCCCAAGCAGUGUGUUCAUGAAUGCAAGAGAGAAAGAUUUAGGCUAUUAAUUGAUUUCAAGUGGUCAGAUGUAUUUUUUAAGUAUUAUAAAUAUUUUUGGAAAUAUAUUUAAUAUUGAGAAUACAUUUACUGAAAAGACGUUAUUUUAUAUACUUUGCUUGUUAUGAUUUCUAUGCUGAUAAUUCCUCCACAUGGGGAAAAAAAUUGAAUAACUGAAAAUCACUUUUUUUUAUUGAAUAAGUUCCCUUAUUUUGAACGUGUUUUUCCAGACAAGGUCCCUUUUAUUUUCUUGAGAGAUCUGGUAACACUGCAACUGGUACAUCACCCACCCUUAGCACAGAGCACUGUCAUUUUAAAAAGAAUGUUAUUAACCGUUCCUUUUAUUUAGUUCUAACCGGUUACCAAUUGGAAAGGAGGAUGCGGAACGAUGGAACCAGAACAAAAAAAUACCUUAUACACAGUGUUGGAGUGUAGCAGCUGUGUGCGGGAGGUACUGGGGCUGCUGAAGAAACCAUGAUUGGGCACUAAAUACUCGUCUACAUCCAUGGCUUCAUCUAGCUCUCCAGUCAUCAGACUGCGGUAGAACUUUGAGUCAGAGGGACUGGAAGUACAGUUCUGAGCAUUAGCUGAAAAUGCAUGUUGUUCUCUCACCUGAAUGACAAGAUAGCGUGGUGGGUCCCGUGCCAUUUUGGAAAACUCUGCGAUGAGCUCCCUGAAGCGAGGCCUGCUCUCUGCAUCGAUCAUCCAACCUGGA